rnacentral:rRNA from 1 species
CACGUAGGGUGCGAGCGUGUCCGGAAUUAUUGGGCGUAAAGAGCUCGUAGGCGGUGUGUCGCGUCGGCCGUGAAAACCUGCAGCUUAACUGUGGGCUGCGGUCGAUACGGGCAUCACUGGAGUUCGGCAGGGGAGACUGGAAUUCCUGGUGUAGCGGUGAAAUGCGCAGAUAUCAGGAGGAACACCGGUGGGCGAAGGCGGGUCUCUGGGCCGA